GUUUACCGUGAAAAAAUUAGAGUGUUCAAAGCAGGCAGAUCCAAUUUUCUGCCACCGAAUACAUUAGCAUGGGAUAAUGGAAUAGGACCCUGUCCUCCUAUUUUCAGUUGGUUUUGGCAGCGCGAGGACUAGGGUAAUGAUUAAUAGGGAUAGUUGGGGGCAUUAAUAUUUAAUUGUCAGAGGUGAAAUUCUUGGAUUUAUGAAAGAUUAACUUCUGCGAAAGCAUCUGCCAAGGAUGUUUUCAUUAAUCAAGAACGAAAGUUAGGGGAUCGAAGACGAUCAGAUACCGUCGUAGUCUUAACCAUAAACGAUGCCGACCAGCGAUUAGGAGACGUUGAAUACAAAACACCACCAUCGGCGCGGUCGUCCUUGGCGUGUCUCGGCUUCACGGCCGGGGCGCGCGAGGGCGGUUUAGCCCGGUGGCACCGGUGAAUGACUCCCCUAGCAGCUUGUGAGAA
rnacentral:rRNA from 1 species